GACAGACUGGGAGGGACACAGCAGCCUCACCCGCCGCCCGACUCGGCCAGGCCCCGACACCCGCUCUGCCUCCCCAGCUCAGGAGGCGGUCCGCCAGGUGCCCACACUCGGCCCUGCCCCUGCCCCUGCCCGGCACCCUUCCCAUGCACUCCUCGGGCGCUUGUUGGGGGUCACCUUCCUGGAGCCUGUCCCUCCAUGCCCUGUUCCCUGCGGUCCCCCCGCCUGCCAGCAGCCCCUCUCCUUCUCUGUUUUCCGAGGUCUCUGUGGCCCUCAGGUGGCAAGUGGCCCUCAUCCUGACACCGAGUCUCCCCAUGGAGGACAGCCCUCCCCUGGCCAAGAGCAGAACGUGGUGUGGAGGUCUGAAUGAGUGAAGUGGACAGAUGGACAGAUGGACUGAGGGCCUGAGUUACACACAUUGUCACAGCAGUGGCAGCAGCUGUCACUGGGCAGCGCGGUGCUCCCGGAAACGCACCGACAGGACAGAGCGGAGGCCAGAGCCAAGGCCAGGCAGGAGGAGGCCCCCAGGGGGCCGUUGAGAACUGGCCGACCCAGGGCCACCCCCAGGGCCAGCAGCAGAGGAAGCAGAGGACGCCCAGCGCCCAGGCGAACCCCAAAGCAAGACCAAGCCCUAAGAGGGCCACCCUGGGAGUGCCGGGAGCUCAGCCCAGCCCCCACUUCCUGUCCCCCCAGUGACCAGUGUCCCCGCCCUGGGGAGAAGGUCACUCACCAGGUAGUACCUCUCCCGGAAGCUGGGGGUGCUUGGGGGUGUCCAGCUGUACAAGGAGCCCUUCCUGCUGCCCAGGGAAAACUUCCCUGUGGGGCUGGGUGACACCAGGAGGCUCUCAGAGUCAAAUGGGCUGGAGGGAGAGCAGAGGCUGGGUGUCACCCGUUCCGGGUCCUCCCAGUGCAGGAGCUGUCCGGGGCCAAGUUCCGGGCCCGCGUCUUCAUCAGUGAUAGCCUGAGCAGGGGUGGGCGCGGCUGGCCCCACCACCCCUCCUUCCCCUCCAGGACAGCCCUCUGUGGCUGGGACUUGUGCAGGGGGGGACGGAACCCCCAGGUAAGCCACCUGUUUAGGCCAGUGCCACCCCUGAUGGGAAGGGACAGGACUGAAUUCACCCAGAGCCUUGAAGAUCAUCUAAAACGGAGCUCGCUACACACCUCUGCGCUCGGCUGAGCUGGGGGAUGGAGGCGGUGGGCGCUCCCCACGUCCCAGACUCAGCCUGCAGCUGGGCACACAAAGGCCGGCCCAGCCAUGAGGCCUGUGGCCAGGGCGCUGCGGGAACCUCCGGGGCAGCCUGCCUGCCAGCCACCUGCCCAGCCCUGCAGGCCCCGGGACCCGGGCUCCUUGGAUGGCUGGACAGUGGGGAGCAGUUACCCCCGCGCAUGCUAGAGGGUUCCCCUGGUGAGGUCCCCAACCCUUCACACCGUGGCCCCUGCCCUGGGGGAUAAUAGGGAAUUCUCUGAAACACAAGUUUUCAUUUGGGGGGGAAAAAAAGCUCUUCUGUCCACAGUGCGAAGCCUCUGGACUCUGGGGACCACCAGAGGCCAGUGCACGUGGAGCAGCAUGAGAAUCCCCACCCACAGGGUCCUUCUCAUGAACAUGCAUCUCGCAGGUCUGUGGCCCUGGGGUCACCCCGGAACCAGGAGGCAGGUGCAGCCAGAGGCCUUCCUGGGCAGAGGCCAGUCUCCUCCAAGGAGCCAAGCUCAGGAGGCCUCUGGAAAGACCCCUGGUCAGCGCAGGGCGGAGCCGUCCCCUGGGCCAAAGUGAGGCUGGGCUCAAACUCAGGGCAGCUGGGGUGGGCAGGGCCGCGGAGAAGGCCUGGGCCUGGCCUUUGAAUGGGGCAGGAGGCGAGAGUGGUCAGGGCAGGGACAUCCUCAGGGACAAUGCGGCCAGAGCCAGGCCCGGGGUGUGGUCCGGCCACUAGGGAGCGCUGUCAGAGUCUCUUGGCCCCUGGGAUCUGGGGGUGGCCCUGGGGACGCGGGGCUGGCGCAGGGAGCUGCCACUCACUUCCACAGCACCUCCAGCUGCAGCUUGAUGGUGCCCAGCUCUGUGAUGUCCACCACCACCAUCUGCGGCUGCGUCGUGAAGAAGUCUGCGAUGUCGCAGGUCACGGAGCCCACCACCAGCGAGCUCAGGCCGCGCAGCUCUGUCACCUGGGAGCGGGGACUGGAGGGUGGUGUCCGAGCGAGCAGCCGGGGCGCCCUGGCCCCGCCCCAGGCCCAGGCCCCACCCCACCUUGAUCUCCAAGUUCUCGUGCAGGGUGGGGACAAAGGCCUUCUCCUCCUGGUCCCACGUCUGGCUGUCGUCUGGCUCGAUCCAGCCCUUCAGCCUCCAGCGCUGGCCGCCCAGGCGGAUAAGCACCUGCAGUGGGCCCAGGAGGUGUGCUGGCCGCCCAGGGUCCCCAGCCACCUGAGGGCGCCCUCCCAGACAGGACCUCAGCUAGGACCCUGGCUCCCGGCAGCCCCCUCCCGCAAAGGCUGGCUGGACCCUGAGGACUGACCUCCGACGGCGGCCAUACCUCAUAGUGGUCUCCUGGGCAGAGGCGCGCGUAGCCCACCAGGCCUGGAACACAGAAAUGGGCCGAUGCUCGCCUGCCCCGCCCUGGAGGGGCACGUCAGCAUCUGGGCAACCCCACAGAGAGGCCCAGGGGAGUGAGGCUUUCCACGUCUCAUGUCCCUCCAGCGUGAAACCCAGAGGUGGGCCUGCCCUGGGGCUGUGGCCAACGCUGCUCACCCCCCAGGGGCCCCGAGAGGACCUGAGCCACCCACGCUGGCCUCCGGCCACUGCUCUCAGCCGUCACCUUUCAUCCUGACGUGGAACUCGCCCAGGUGAACCUCCAGCGCCCCCUCGAUGAGCCACAUGUCCUGAAAAGCCCCGUGGGAGCUCAGCCACUCGCCCAGCCACACCCACCCCAGGGGACGCCACUGUCCCUGCAGCCAGAGCGCUCCGCCCACCUCGGCGCACUCGUGCAGGCUGCGGCCCAGCUCCUGCAGGCUCUCGCGGGAGGCGCGGCUGGGCGGGCACCUGGCGAAGGCGCGCUGCAUGUUGGCAGCCCCGUCACGCAGGCGGCACUGGACACAGUAGCCCUCGUAGAGCUCCUCCACCUGAGGGGCACACCAGUGGGCACGGCCUCCCGGCCAGCCCCACACCACUGCCAGCACAGCACCCAGCCAGCACCCAGGGUGGCCUGGGGCAGCGGCCACCCCGCGCUCUGUACCCCAGCACCUGGUGGUGACUGUAUACAGUCAGUGCACAAUAAAGAACUAGUGAAGUGGA